CCUACGGGAGGCAGCAGUAAGGAAUAUUGGUCAAUGGAGGGAACUCUGAACCAGCCAUGCCGUGUGCAGGAUGACUGCCCUAUGGGUUGUAAACUGCUUUUGUACAGGAAGAAACCUCUCUACGUGUAGAGACUUGACGGUACUGUAAGAAUAAGGAUCGGCUAACUCCGUGCCAGCAGCCGCGGUAAU
rnacentral:rRNA from 1 species